GGUCUGUAGUCUUGGAACGGCUCUGGGUUGGUGGUGCCCUCGAGCACACAAGACUUGCAGAAAAAGCAUACUCCAGAGGAAGCUGAGGCAUGGCUGCUCCAGGGCCAGCAGUUCCAUGUGCAAUUUUCCUCUGAUAGGUCCUGGGUACUGUUGCCACGGUGAUAAUGACCUUGCCAUGUCAUUAUAUAUCAACCAACAGUAAGAGAAGCUUUGCAAUCGAGAUAUUGUUUUAGCAGAUGAGUGGUUUCUGUUGGACACUAAGUACUGCUACAAAU
rnacentral:snoRNA from 1 species